rnacentral:rRNA from 1 species
GGGUUCAGAACGUCGUGAGACAGUUCGGUCCCUAUCCGUCGCAGGCGUAGGAAAUUUGAGAAGACCUGUCCUUAGUACGAGAGGUCCGGGAUGGACGUUCCUCUGGUGUACAAGUUGUCCUGCCAAGGGCAUGGCUGGGUAGCUAUGUGCGGAAUGGAUAAGCGCUGAAAGCAUCUAAGCGCGAAGCCAACUUCAAGAUAAGAUUUCCCACCGCAAGGGUAAGACCCCAGAAAGACUAUCUGGUUGAUAGGUCGAAGGUGUAAGUGCAGCAAUGUAUUUAGCUUAUCGAUACUAAUAGGUCGAGGACUUGACCAAU